AUUCUAACGAGUAUGUGGCUGAUUCAAAUGUUGGAUUUGGAGUAUGAUAGGCUCUUUAUAGCAAGGCUUGUUGGGUUUCUUGAUCCAAAGUGACCAAAUAAGUCCAUUUUGGCUAGUCAAAUCCUAUUGUAAGGUUAGGUUAUAUUUAUGGGACAAGCCUAACUUACUGAGCUAUUAUGUAUCUCCAUGUUUAUUUGGGUUAUCCAACCUUUUUUUUUAAAACAAAAGCAAAUCAGCUAAACAAGUUUUUAAAAAUGACUAUUUUAAUAUUAUUAUUUUAUUUCUUAAUAAGCCUAGAAAAAGUUGAAUAGCAAAUGC
rnacentral:lncRNA from 1 species